rnacentral:rRNA from 1 species
ACAGAGACCUCAAGCGUUAUCCGGAAUCAUUGGGCGUAAAGCGUACCGAUAGGUGGUUUUGCAAGUCAGAGGUGAAAUCUCAAGGCUCAACUUUGAGACUGUCCUUUGAAACUGCACAACUAGAGGGGCAAAGAGGAAGCUGGAACGAACGGUGUAGUAGUGAAAUGCGUUGAUAUCGUUCGGAACACCAAUAGCGUAGGCAGGCUUCUGGGUGCCACCUGACACUGCUAGGACGAAAGCGUGGGGAGCGAAUGGGA